rnacentral:rRNA from 1 species
GCCCUUCGGGGUACACGAGCGGCGAACGGGUGAGUAACACGUGAGCAACCUGCCCCUGACUCCGGGAUAAGCGGUGGAAACGCCGUCUAAUACCGGAUACGACCCUCCGCCUCAUGGUGGUGGGUGGAAAGUUUUUCGGUCGGGGAUGGGCUCGCGGCCUAUCAGCUUGUUGGUGGGGUAACGGCCUACCAAGGCGAUUACGGGUAGCCGGCCUGAGAGGGCGACCGGCCACACUGGGACUGAGACACGGCCCAGACUCCUGCGGGAGGCAGCAGUGGGGAAUAUUGCGCAAUGGGCGAAAGCCUGACGCAGCGACGCCGCGUGGGGGAUGACGGCCUUCGGGUUGUAAACCUCUUUUACCACUCACGCAGGCUCCACGUUUUCGUGGGGUUGACGGUAGGUGGGGAAUAAGGACCGGCUAACUACGUGCCAGCAGCCGCGGUAAUACGUAGGGUCCGAGCGUUGUCCGGAAUUAUUGGGCGUAAAGAGCUCGUAGGCGGCGUGUCGCGUCUGCUGUGAAAGACCGGGGCUUAACCCCGGUUCUGCAGUGGAUACGGGCAUGCUAGAGGUAGGUAGGGGAGACUGGAAUUCCUGGUGUAGCGGUGAAAUGCGCAGAUAUCAGGAGGAACACCGGUGGCGAAGGCGGGUCUCUGGGCCUUACCUGACGCUGAGGAGCGAAAGCAUGGGGAGCGAACAGGAUUAGAUACCCUGGUAGUCCAUGCCGUAAACGUU